rnacentral:rRNA from 1 species
ACUUAAAUUGAAGAGUUUGAUCAUGGCUCAGAUUGAACGCUGGCGGCAGGCCUAACACAUGCAAGUCGAGCGGUAGCACAGAGAGCUUGCUCUCGGGUGACGAGCGGCGGACGGGUGAGUAAUGUCUGGGAAACUGCCUGAUGGAGGGGGAUAACUACUGGAAACGGUAGCUAAUACCGCAUAAUGUCGCAAGACCAAAGUGGGGGACCUUCGGGCCUCAUGCCAUCAGAUGUGCCCAGAUGGGAUUAGCUAGUAGGUGGGGUAACGGCUCACCUAGGCGACGAUCCCUAGCUGGUCUGAGAGGAUGACCAGCCACACUGGAACUGAGACACGGUCCAGACUCCUACGGGAGGCAGCAGUGGGGAAUAUUGCACAAUGGGCGCAAGCCUGAUGCAGCCAUGCCGCGUGUGUGAAGAAGGCCUUCGGGUUGUAAAGCACUUUCAGCGGGGAGGAAGGCGUUAAGGUUAAUAACCUUGGCGAUUGACGUUACCCGCAGAAGAAGCACCGGCUAACUCCGUGCCAGCAGCCGCGGUAAUACGGAGGGUGCAAGCGUUAAUCGGAAUUACUGGGCGUAAAGCGCACGCAGGCGGUCUGUCAAGUCGGAUGUGAAAUCCCCGGGCUCAACCUGGGAACUGCAUUCGAAACUGGCAGGCUAGAGUCUUGUAGAGGGGGGUAGAAUUCCAGGUGUAGCGGUGAAAUGCGUAGAGAUCUGGAGGAAUACCGGUGGCGAAGGCGGCCCCCUGGACAAAGACUGACGCUCAGGUGCGAAAGCGUGGGGAGCAAACAGGAUUAGAUACCCUGGUAGUCCACGCCGUAAACGAUGUCGAUUUGGAGGUUGUGCCCUUGAGGCGUGGCUUCCGGAGCUAACGCGUUAAAUCGACCGCCUGGGGAGUACGGCCGCAAGGUUAAAACUCAAAUGAAUUGACGGGGGCCCGCACAAGCGGUGGAGCAUGUGGUUUAAUUCGAUGCAACGCGAAGAACCUUACCUGGUCUUGACAUCCACAGAACUUUCCAGAGAUGGAUUGGUGCCUUCGGGAACUGCGAGACAGGUGCUGCAUGGCUGUCGUCAGCUCGUGUUGUGAAAUGUUGGGUUAAGUCCCGCAACGAGCGCAACCCUUAUCCUUUGUUGCCAGCGGUCCGGCCGGGAACUCAAAGGAGACUGCCAGUGAUAAACUGGAGGAAGGUGGGGAUGACGUCAAGUCAUCAUGGCCCUUACGACCAGGGCUACACACGUGCUACAAUGGCAUAUACAAAGAGAAGCGACCUCGCGAGAGCAAGCGGACCUCAUAAAGUAUGUCGUAGUCCGGAUUGGAGUCUGCAACUCGACUCCAUGAAGUCGGAAUCGCUAGUAAUCGUAGAUCAGAAUGCUACGGUGAAUACGUUCCCGGGCCUUGUACACACCGCCCGUCACACCAUGGGAGUGGGUUGCAAAAGAAGUAGGUAGCUUAACCUUCGGGAGGGCGCUUACCACUUUGUGAUUCAUGACUGGGGUGAAGUCGUAACAAGGUAACCGUAGGGGAACCUGCGGUUGGAUCACCUCCUUACCUUAAAGAA